GGACACAUCACGUUGAAAUACCGGUUCCCGUACGAUCACCGAAUUAAGCAACGUCGAGCCUGGUCAGUAAUUAGAUGAGUAACCAUUUGAGAAUACCAGGUGCUGUAA
rnacentral:rRNA from 1 species